AAGACACUAGUAAAAACAUAACAUUGCCUUGUCAAGACAAAAUUGUAGGUUAAAAUCCUACGUGCCUUA
rnacentral:tRNA from 1 species